rnacentral:rRNA from 1 species
UACGGAGGGUGCGAGCGUUGUCCGGAUUUAUUGGGUUUAAAGGGUGCGUAGGCGGCCCGUUAAGUCCGGGGUGAAAGCCCACUGCUCAACAGUGGAACGGCCCUGGAUACUGGCGGGCUUGAAUCCAGUCGAGGGUGGCGGAAUAGAGGCUGUAGCGGUGAAAUGCAUAGAUAGCCUCUAGAACACCGAUUGCGAAGGCAGCUGCCUAGACUGGUAUUGACGCUCAGGCACGAAAGCGUGGGGAG